GCCCAAACCAAUAAAGUUUUCUUUAUUGGGGUUGCGGACAUAUCAUAACGAAGAGGUAUCGUAAUUGAAGAGGUUUGGAAAGACCCACCACAGAAGGUAAUAGUCCUGUAUGUUAAACGAGAAGACUUUAGAUAUGAUCCAGAGUACCACGGGACACGUGAAACCCUGUGGGAAGCAGGAGGGACCACCCUCCAAGGCUAAAUACUACCUAGUGACCGAUAGCGUAUAGUACCGUGAGGGAAAGGUGAAAAGAACCCCGGGAGGGGAGUGAAAUAGAACCUGAAACCCUGCACUUACAAGCUGUGGAAGCACAUUUCUUGUGUGACCGCGUACUUUUUGUAGAACGGGCCAACGAGUUACGUUAAGUAG
rnacentral:rRNA from 1 species